rnacentral:rRNA from 1 species
UACGUAGGGGGCAAGCGUUAUCCGGAUUUACUGGGUGUAAAGGGGGCGCAGACGGCAGCGCAAGCCAGGAGUGAAAGCCCGGGGCCCAACCCCGGGACUGCUCUUGGAACUGCGCGGCUGGAGUGCAGGAGGGGCAGGCGGAAUUCCUGGUGUAGCGGUGAAAUGCGUAGAUAUCAGGAGGAACACCGGUGGCGAAGGCGGCCUGCUGGACUGCGACUGACGUUGAGGCCCGAAAGCGUGGGGAGCAAGCAGG